rnacentral:rRNA from 1 species
GAGUUUGAUCCUGGCUCAGGAUGAACGCUGGCGGCGUGCCUAAUACAUGCAAGUCGAGCGAACAGAUAAGGAGCUUGCUCCUUUGACGUUAGCGGCGGACGGGUGAGUAACACGUGGGUAACCUACCUAUAAGACUGGAAUAACUCCGGGAAACCGGGGCUAAUGCCGGAUAAUAUUUAGAACCGCAUGGUUCUAAAGUGAAAGAUGGUUUUACUAUCACUUAUAGAUGGACCCGCGCCGUAUUAGCUAGUUGGUGGGGUAAUGGCUUACCAAGGCAACGAUACGUAGCCGACCUGAGAGGGUGAUCGGCCACACUGGAACUGAGACACGGUCCAGACUCCUACGGGAGGCAGCAGUAGGGAAUCUUCCGCAAUGGGCGAAAGCCUGACGGAGCAACGCCGCGUGAGUGAUGAAGGUCUUCGGAUCGUAAAACUCUGUUAUUAGGGAAGAACAAAUGUGUAAGUAACUGUGCACGUCUUGACGGUACCUAAUCAGAAAGCCA